AUAAUUUCCCUCUAGAUCUAGCUGCGAUCGAAGCUCCAUCUAUUAACGGAUAAAAUUUUUAUCUUAAAUUCAAGUAGAUGAGUUUUUCAAAGUAAAGGAGCAAUAUCAACUUUUUUGAUAUUGCUCCUUUACUUUCUUUUAUUAGUAAUCUUUUGAUUUAUAAAUAUUUAUAUUUAUACAUACGUUUUUCAUUUAUUUCACGAUUCUUUAGCAUUUUAGCAUUUUUCCUAUCUUAGAAGGAAAAAAGAAUGAUAACGAAAGGGUAGAAAUUGAGAUAUAGAUCAUUUUUACAUAGUAUAAGGGCGGAUGUAGCCAAGUGGAUCAAGGCAGUGGAUUGUGAAUCCACCAUGCGCG
rnacentral:misc_RNA from 1 species